rnacentral:rRNA from 1 species
AGAGCGUACGGAGGAUGCCUAGGCUCUCAAAGGCGAAGAAGGACGUGAUAAGCUGCGAAAAGCUGCGGGGAGGUGCAAAUAACCUGUGAUCCGCGGAUAUCCGAAUGGGGAAACCCAUCCCGAGAGGGAUAUCCCGAAAUGGGAGGCGAACCCGGGGAACUGAAACAUCUAAGUACCCGGAGGAAAAGAAAACAAAAGUGAUUUCCUUAGUAGUGGCGAGCGAAGAGGGAAGAGCCCAAACCGAUAUUGUUUAGGCAAUAUUGGGGUUGUAGGACUGCGAGGAUAUUUAUAAAACUGAAUUGGAAACGUACUGGAAAGUUGUACCGAAGAGGGUGAAAGUCCCGUACAAGAAAGGUUUUAUAGAUUUUGCAUAAUCCUGAGUAGCGCGGGGCACGAGGAACCCUGUGUGAAUCUGGCGGGACCAUCCGCCAAGGCUAAAUACUAAUGAGAGACCGAUAGCGAACUAGUACCGUGAGGGAAAGGUGAAAAGAACCCCGAGCAGGGGAGUGAAAAAGAACCUGAAACCGUGCGCUUACAAGCGGUUGGAGCCCUGAGAGGGGUGACAGCGUGCCUUUUGCAUAAUGAGCCUACGAGUUAGUCGUCUCUAGCGAGGCUAAUGGCUUAAGGUCAGGAGCCGAAGCGAAAGCGAGUCUGAAAAUGGCGUUAAGUUAGAGGCGCUAGACGCGAAACCUAAGUGAUCUACCCAUGGCCAGGGUGAAGUUCUGGUAACACAGAAUGGAGGUCCGAACCAGUUGACGUUGAAAAGUCUUUGGAUGAGCUGUGGGUAGGGGUGAAAGGCCAAUCAAACUGGGAAAUAGCUCGUACUCCCCGAAAUGCAUUUAGGUGCAGCCUUGGGUAUAAUGUAUCAGAGGUAGAGCUACUGAUAGGGCUAGGGGGCUUCACCGCCUACCAACCCCUGACAAACUCCGAAUGCUGAUACAUUUUAACCAGGAGUGAGGGCAUGGGUGCUAAGGUCCAUGUCCGAGAGGGAAAUAACCCGGACCAACAGCUAAGGUCCCGAAAUGAUAGUUAAGUUGACCAAACGAAGUUCGACUGCAUAGACAGCUAGGAUGUUGGCUUGGAAGCAGCCAUUCAUUUAAAGAGUGCGUAACAGCUCACUAGUCGAGCGGUUGAGCGCGGAUGAUACACGGGCAUAAACUAUCUACCGAAGCUUUGGAUCACGAAAAAGUGGUGGUAGGGGAGCAUUCCAUUAGAGUAGAAGCAAUAGAGUAAUCUAUUGUGGAUUAGAUGGAAAAGCAAAUGUAGGCAUGAGUAACGAUAAUGGGGGUGAGAAACCUCCACACCGAUAGACUAAGGUUUCCACGGCGAUGCUAAUCAGCCGUGGGUUAGUCGGGGCCUAAGGAUAAGCCGAAGGGUGAUUCCGAUGGGAAAUCGGUUAAUAUUCCGAUACCUGAUGUAACUGCGAAGGAGGGACGAAGGAGUGACAUACCCGCGUACUGACGGAAAAGUACGUUAAAGGGAGUAGAAAUAUGUUGUGUUAAAAGCAUAGCAUUUCGAACCUGACAGUACCAUGACCCUUCGGGUGAUUGGAAAGUGGUAGUAAACAGACUUCCGAGAAAAGCUUCUAAGCGAUAGGUUACAUUAGCCCGUACCCCAAACCGACACAGGUAGUCAAGGAGAGAAUCCUGAGGUGCUCGAGUGAGUCGUGGCUAAGGAACUAGGCAAAAUUACCCCGUAACUUCGGGAGAAGGGGUCCCUACGCAAGUAGGGCGCAGAGAAAUGGCCCAGGCGACUGUUUAACAAAAACACAUGGCUUUGCUAAAUCGAAAGAUGAAGUAUAAGGCCUGACACCUGCCCGGUGCCGGAAGGUUAAGAGGGGGGGUUAUCUGGCGAAAGUUGGAGAAGCUCUGAAUCGAAGCCCCGGUAAACGGCGGCCGUAACUAUAACGGUCCUAAGGUAGCGAAAUUCCUUGUCGGGUAAGUUCCGACCUGCACGAAUGGUGUAACGAUCUGGGCGCUGUCUCAGCCACGAGCUCGGUGAAAUUGUAGUUCCGGUGAAGAUGCCGGAUACCCGCGACGGGACGGAAAGACCCCGUGCACCUUUACUAUAGCUUCAUAUUGGUUCUGGGUAAGUGAUGUGUAGGAUAGGACGGAGACAGAGAAUCGGCUUCGCCAGGAGUCGAGGAGUCGGCCUUGAAAUACGUCCCUUUGCUUAUCUGGAAUCUAAUCCCUUGAAAAAAGGGAGACAGUGUGUGGUGGGUAGUUUGACUGGGGUGGUCGCCUCCAAAAGAGUAACGGAGGCUUUCAAAGGUACCCUCAGCACGCUUGGUAACCGUGCGAAGAGUGCAAUGGCAAAAGGGUGCUUGACUGUGAGACCGACGGGUCGAGCAGGUAGGAAACUAGGACAUAGUGAUCCGGUGGUUCCGCAUGGAAGGGCCAUCGCUCAAAGGAUAAAAGGUACGCCGGGGAUAACAGGCUGAUCGCUCCCAAGAGCUCACAUCGACGGAGCGGUUUGGCACCUCGAUGUCGGCUCGUCACAUCCUGGGGCUGGAGAAGGUCCCAAGGGUUGGGCUGUUCGCCCAUUAAAGUGGCACGCGAGCUGGGUUCAGAACGUCGUGAGACAGUUCGGUCCCUAUCUGUCGUGGGCGUAGGAAACUUGAGAGGGCCUGACACUAGUACGAGAGGACCGUGUUGGACAAACCUCUAGUGUACCUGUUGUGGCGCCAGCUGCACCGCAGGGUAGCUAUGUUUGGAAGAGAUAAGUGCUGAAAGCAUCUAAGCACGAAGCUCGCCUCAAGAUGAGGUUUCCAUAGAGGGCCGUCAGAGACUAUGACGUUGA